GGCUUGAGCUGCUCAGAAGCUUCAAUUUAAAAUGUAUACUUACAUUUCCCACUGAGAUAAUCUCGUGUGUUAAUCUGACCUAAUGAGACUCACGAUCAGACAAGAGAAGCCUCUUCAAAUAUAACUGUUUCCUCCUGCUCUUGACGCUUGAAUCCUGAUGUAACAGAUUGAACCUUGAACUGGUGAGAUUACAACAGUCGCAUAGAACCUUCAAACGCAUAUAAUAAAACGGGAUCACCUUCACUACUUUUAUUAUAGAUCUGAGAAGAGAAGUUUAAAGCCAUUAAGUUACUUUUUCUCAUAACCUUGAAAAUGAAACGUUUUAAGAAAAGAGACUGAGGGAAAUGAACAGAAAAGUGUGAAUAGCGAACAUUACCUUACACCAGGUAAGAAAAGAGACUGAGGGAAAUGAACAGAAAAGUGUGAGUAGUAAACAUUAACUUACACCAGGUAAGAAAAGAGACUGAGGGAAAUGAACAGAAAAGUGUGAGUAGCGAACAUUAACUUACACCAGGUAAGAAAAGAGACUGAGGGAAAUGAACAGAAAAGUGUGAGUAGUGAACAUUACCUUACACCAGGUAAGAAAAGAGACUGAGGGAAAUGAACAGAAAAGUGUGAGUAGUGAACAUUACCUUAUACCAGGUAAGAAAAGAGACUGAGGGAAAUGAACAGAAAAGUGUGAGUAGCGAACAUUAACUUACACCAGGUAAGAAAAAAGACUGAGGGAAAUGAACAGAAAAGUGUGAGUAGUGAACAUUAACUUACACCAGGUAAGAAAAGAGACUGAGGGAAAUGAACAGAAAAGUGUGAGUAGUGAACAUUAACUUACACCAGGUAAGAAAAGAGACUGAGGGAAAUGAACAGAAAAGUGUGAAUAGCGAACAUUAACUUACACCAGGUAAGAAAAGAGACUGAGGGAAAUGAACAGAAAAGUGUGAGUAGUGAACAUUAACUUACACCAGGUAAGAAAAGAGACUGAGGGAAAUGAACAGAAAAGUGUGAGUAGUGAACAUUACCUUACACCAGGUAAGAAAAGAGACUGAGGGAAAUGAACAGAAAAGUGUGAGUAGCGAACAUUAACUUACACCAGGUAAGAAAAGAGACAGUGGGAAAUGAACAGAAAAGUGUGAGUAGCGAACAUUAACUUACACCAGGUAAGAAAAGAGACUGAGGGAAAUGAACAGAAAAGUGUGAGUAGCGAACAUUAACUUACACCAGGUAAGAAAAGAGACUGAGGGAAAUGAACAGAAAAGUGUGAGUAGUGAACAUUAACUUACACCAGGUAAGAAAAGAGACUGAGGGAAAUGAACAGAAAAGUGUGAGUAGUAAACAUUAACUUACACCAGGUAAGAAAAGAGACAGUGGGAAAUGAACAGAAAAGUGUGAGUAGUGAACAUUAACUUACACCAGGUAAGAAAAGAGACUGAGGGAAAUGAACAGAAAAGUGUGAGUAGUAAACAUUAACUUACACCAGGUAAGAAAAGAGACUGAGGGAAAUGAACAGAAAAGUGUGAAUAGUAAACAUUACCUUACACCAGGUAAGAAAAGAGACUGAGGGAAAUGAACAGAAAAGUGUGAGUAGUGAACAUUAACUUACACCAGGUAAGAAAAGAGACUGAGGGAAAUGAACAGAAAAGUGUGAGUAGCGAACAUUACCUUACACCAGGUAAGAAAAGAGACUGAGGGAAAUGAACAGAAAAGUGUGAGUAGCGAACACUAACUUACACCAGGUAAGAAAAAGAGACUGAGGGAAAUGAACAGAAAAGUGUGAGUAGUGAAGAUUAACUUACACCAGGUAAGAAAAGAGACUGAGGGAAAUGAACAGAAAAGUGUGAGUAGUGAACAUUACCUUACACCAGGUAAG